rnacentral:siRNA from 1 species
AAACACGGCGAUGUAGUGCUUUAA